rnacentral:rRNA from 1 species
GACGAACGCUGGCGGCGUGCUUAACACAUGCAAGUCGAACGGAAAGGCCCUGCUUUUGCGGGGUGCUCGAGUGGCGAACGGGUGAGUAACCCGGGAGUAACCUGCCCUUGACUUUGGGACAACUUCAGGAAACUGGGGCUAAUACCGGAUAGGAGCUCCUGCUGCAGGGUGGGGGUUGGAAAGUUUCGGCGGUUGGGGAUCGACUCGGGGCUUACCAGCUUGUUGGGGGGGUAGUGGCUUACCAAGGCUUUGACGGGUAGCCGGCCUGAGAGGGUGACCGGCGACCCUGGGACUGAGAGAAGGCACAGACUCCGACGGGUGGCAGCAGGGGGGAAUAUUGAACCAUGGACGGAAGCCUGAUGAAGAAACGCCGCGUGCGGGAUGACGGCCUUCGGGUUGUAAACCGCUUGCGCCUGAGACGAAGCGUGAGUGACGGUAAUGGGUGAAGAAGCACCGGCUAACUACGUG